AUGGCCGCCUAUGCUGGGCUGUUGCGCGUCGCCCUCGUCCUCAUCGCCGCCGCCGCGACCUGGGCGGCGGCGCUAGACGACCCGGCGGGGCUUCUGCGACGGGCCAAGGAGGCGGAGUUCAUGGACUGGAUGGUGGGGGUGCGCCGGCGGAUCCACGAGAACCCUGAGCUCGGCUACGAGGAGUUUGACACCAGUGAGCUCGUGCGGCGCGAGCUCGAUGCCAUGGGGAUCCCCUACAGGCAUCCCUUCGCGGUCACCGGCGUCGUCGCCACCGUCGGCACAGGCGGCCCGCCCUUCGUCGCGCUUCGGGCCGACAUGGACGCGCUCCCUAUGCAGGAAAGCGUGGAAUGGGAACAUAAGAGCAAAGUGCCUGGGAAGAUGCAUGGAUGUGGCCAUGAUGCACAUGUUGCUAUGCUAUUGGGUUCUGCUAAGAUUCUUCAGGAGCACCGUGACGAGUUGAAGGGUACUGUAGCCCUUCUUUUCCAACCAGCUGAGGAAGGUGGUGGUGGAGCCAAGAAAAUGGUAGAAGCCGGAGCUGUGGAAAACAUAGAGGUCAUGUUUGGACUUCAUGUAGCUGACAGUGUGCCGAUUGGUGUGCUGGCAUCCAGACCUGGGCCUAUAAUGGCAGGGAGUGGAUUCUUUGAGGCAGUAAUAAGUGGAAAGGGAGGGCAUGCUGCACUUCCUCAUCACACUAUUGAUCCAAUACUGGCUGCAUCCAAUGUUAUUGUAAGCCUUCAGCAACUUGUUUCCCGAGAAGCUGACCCCUUGGACUCACAGGUAGUAACGGUUGGAAAGUUUCAAGGUGGUGGAGCCUUCAAUGUUAUCCCUGAUUCAGUGACAAUAGGUGGUACCUUCCGAGCCUUUAUGAAGGAGAGUUUUAAUCAAUUGAAGCAGCGAAUUGAAGAGGUAACAACGAGGGUCAUAGUCACACAGGCAUCUGUCCAGCGCUGCAGCGCAGUUGUGGACUUCCUUGACAAAGAUAAGCCUUUCUUCCCUCCAACAAUCAACAAUCCUGAGCUUCACGAUUUCUUUGCGAAGGUGUGCAGUGAGAUGGUUGGCCCCAACAACGUGAGAGAGAAGCAGCCACUGAUGGGUGCCGAGGACUUCUCCUUCUACACCGAGGCCGUUCCCAAGACAUACUACUACUUUGUGGGGAUGCUCAACGAGACUCGUGGACCGCAGGCGCCUCAUCACUCCCCCUACUUCACCAUCAACGAGGAUGCACUGCCCUACGGUGCAGCCAUGCAAGCAUCGUUGGCUGCUCGCUAUCUGCUUGAGCACCAGCCCGCUACCGCUGCUAAGGUGGAACCUCGCGACGAGCUGUAG
rnacentral:rRNA from 1 species